UACGGGGGGGGCAAGCGUUGUUCGGAAUUACUGGGCGUAAAGGGCGCGUAGGCGGCCUGCUAAGUCGGAUGUGAAAUCCCUCGGCUCAACCGAGGAACUGCAUCCGAUACUGGCGGGCUUGAAUCCGGGAGAGGGAUGUGGAAUUCCAGGUGUAGCGGUGAAAUGCGUAGAUAUCUGGAGGAACACCGGUGGCGAAGGCGGCAUCCUGGACCGGUAUUGACGAUCAGGCUCGAAAGCGUGGGGAGCAAACAGG
rnacentral:rRNA from 1 species